rnacentral:rRNA from 1 species
AUUGAACGCUGGCGGCAUGCUUUACACAUGCAAGUCGAACGGCAGCGCGGGCUUCGGCCUGGCGGCGAGUGGCGAACGGGUGAGUAAUGCAUCGGAACGUGCCCAGUAGUGGGGGAUAGCCCGGCGAAAGCCGGAUUAAUACCGCAUACGACCUGAGGGUGCAAGCGGGGGACCGAAAGGCCUCGCGCUAUUGGAGCGGCCGAGGUCGGAUUGGUCAGGUGGUGGGGGAAAGGCUUACUAAGGCGACGAUCGGUAGCUGGUCUGGUAGGACGACCGGCCGCACUGGGACUGGGACACGCCCCAGACUACUACGGGAGGCAGCAGUGGGGAAUUGUGGACAAUGGGGGCAACCCUGAUCCAGCCAUGCCGCGUGCGGGAAGAAGGCCUUCGGGUUGUAAACCGCUUUUGUUCGGGAAGAAAUCCUCUGGGCUAAUACCCCGGGGGGAUGACGGUACCGGAAGAAUAAGCACCGGCUAACUACGUG